GAUGAACGCUAGCGGCAGGCUUAAUACAUGCAAGUCGAGGGACAGCACAGGUAGCAAUACUGGGUGGUAAUCGGCAAACGGAUGCGGAACACGUACACAACCUUCCUUUAAGUGGGGGAUAGCCCAGAGAAAUUUGGAUUAAUACCCCGUAAUAUAGUUGAAUGGCAUCAUUUGAUUAUUAUAGCUACGGCGCUUAAUGAUGGGUGUGCGGCUGAUUAGAUAGUUGGCGGGGUAACGGACCACCAAGUCUACGAUCAGUAGCAGAUGUGAGAGCAUGAUCAGCCAAACGGGCACUGAGACACGGGCCCGACUCCUACGGGAGGCAGCAGUAAGGAAUAUUGGUCAAUGGACGCAAGUCUGAACCAGCCAUGCCGCGUAAAGGAUUAAGGUCCUCUGGAUUGUAAACUUCUUUUAUUUGGGACGAAAAAGGGCCUUUCUAGGUCAACUGACGGUACCAGAUGAAUAAGCACCGGCUAACUCCGUGCCAGCCGCCGCCGUAAUAC
rnacentral:rRNA from 1 species